rnacentral:rRNA from 1 species
ACGUAGGACACGAGCGUUAUCCGGAGUUACUGGGCGUAAAGGGCGCGUAGGCGGCCACCGCAAGUCAGUUGUGAAAUCUCUGGGCUUAACCCAGAAAGGUCAACUGAUACUGCGGGGCUAGAGUGCAGAAGGGGCAACUGGAAUUCUCGGUGUAGCGGUGAAAUGCGUAGAUAUCGAGAGGAACACCUGCGGCGAAGGCGGGUUGCUGGGCUGACACUGACGCUGAGGCGCGAAAGCUAGGGGAGCGAACGGGA